CCCCUUGAGCCAGGACAAGAGGAGGCACAAGUGGGAGCAGAGGAGGGAGCCACCAUGAGAUGACAAGGGACCCAAGGCAGCUGGAAGAUGGCAGAGCAGGUACAGGAAGCCAUCCUGGACUCUUCACAGCCCAGAAGCAAAGCAACAAAAGGGCCCAGAGGGGACUUCUAGAACUCAGUGUUGGGCAGGCGCCCUUGUUUGUGCAAUGUUUUGUCAUUCAUGACGAGCUUUCUCACAAACCAUGAAAUUGUCACUCAGCCACCUGAGCAGGAGAGCAGGAAGAGGAGGGAAGUCAGAGGGACCUCCACCCACCUCUGACCUCUCUCCCUUCUUGUGGAACUCCCCCGAAGCUGCCGACAAUUCUCUCAUGGAUCAUUGACAGAAUCAGGUGCAUAGACUCCCCAAGACCAAGCACAGUAGACACCAUUGCAA